rnacentral:rRNA from 1 species
AGCAUAUCAAUAAGCGGAGGAAAAGAAACCAACAGGGAUUGCCCUAGUAACGGCGAGUGAAGCGGCAACAGCUCAAAUUUGAAAUCUGGCCCCAGGCCCGAGUUGUAAUUUGCAGAGGAUGCUUUUGGCGACGCGCCUUCCGAGUUCCCUGGAACGGGACGCCAUAGAGGGUGAGAGCCCCGUACGGUCGUGCGCCUAGCCUCUGUAAAGCUCCUUCGACGAGUCGAGUAGUUUGGGAAUGCUGCUCUAAAUGGGAGGUAUACGUCUUCUAAAGCUAAAUACCGGCCAGAGACCGAUAGCGCACAAGUAGAGUGAUCGAAAGAUGAAAAGCACUUUGAAAAGAGGGUUAAAUAGUACGUGAAAUUGCUGAAAGGGAAGCGCUCAUGACCAGACUUGGGCCGGUGAAUCAUCCAGCGUUCUCGCUGGUGCACUUUGCCGGUCCAGGCCAGCAUCAGUUCGCGCCGGGGGAUAAAGGCUUCGGGAAUGUGGCUCCUCCGGGAGUGUUAUAGCCCGUUGCGUAAUACCCUGGGGUGGACUGAGGUACGCGCUCCGCAAGGAUGCUGGCGUAAUGGUCAUCAGCGACCCGUCUUGAAACACGGACCAAGGAGUCGUCUUCGUAUGCGAGUGUUCGGGUGUCAAACCCUUACGCGUAAUGAAAGUGAACGUAGGAGAGAGCUUCGGCGCAUCUCCGACCGAUCCUGAUGUUCUCGGAUGGAUUUGAGUAAGAGCAUACGGGGCCGGACCCGAAAGAAGGUGAACUAUGCCUGUAUAGGGUGAAGCCAGAGGAAACUCUGGUGGAGGCUCGCAGCGGUUCUGACGUGCAAAUCGAUCGUCAAAUAUGGGCAUGGGGGCGAAAGACUAAUCGAACCUUCUAGUAGCUGGUUUCCGCCGA